rnacentral:misc_RNA from 1 species
AUCAAAAACCCCAGAACCUUCAACCUGCAAAACAUCAUGCUCAUCAUGAUUUUACUUCUUGAUCAUCAAAAUAGAUUCGAAUUCAUUUGGGUUAUAUUUUUUUUCAUAAUUUAAAAAUAAAUAUAUUAUUAAUAAGAAUUCAUUAAAAACUUAUAAUGGACAAGCUAACUAAAACUUAACUAGGUUAAUAGAUUUUACAGAACACCAGAAAUUAAGCACGUCGUCAUGCUAAGAAAAAGAAUAGGAUAUCACUUUGGCCAUAUGAGGAUGCCUAGGGGUGGCCCUGGCCCCCAAGCUCCAUGAAUUUUUUAUUUUUACAUAUACUAUUUAGAUAAAAAUUUUUAACUAUUUUUAUUGAGUCUCUCCAAAUUAAUUAAUCAUAUUUAAAAUAUAGAGUUGCACUAAUAAUAAUUAAUUAAAAAAAUAUAGUAGAAACAACCGAUUAUAACAAGAAUAUAAAAUAAUAAAAUAAUAAUUAUUAACUAAAGCAGCCAAUUAAAAAAUUU